rnacentral:sRNA from 1 species
UCUCCCUGCCUUUCAGGCAUCCUCUCCCAAAACUUCCAAGGCCCGGUCGGCGACGACCGGGUCUUUUUUUGUCUGCGC